GCCGUCUCCCCCAUCCAUCCACUCUCUGCCCCCUCCCUCCAUCCUUCAGGACUCUCUAUCUUAACAUGGCUCUUGCAAACACCCGGACCCACCCACUGACCCCAGAGCACCCCCUACCCAUGUGUUUGGCCAGGGGACACCCCCACACUGGCCCCAUCAUGUGCCUGGUGGCCCCGAGGCUGCAGCACAGGGUGCCUGUCUGGCCCUAGACCUGCCCUGGGGCCUUCUCUCUGCCACGGCUCACAGGACAAACCUGAAUAAUUGCUGUCCUCCCUCUGAAAUGGUGGCCAUGGGGGUGCAGGGAAGUCUUCACAUCCCUCCUGUGCCCAGGCCCUCACCCCCACACUCUGGCUGGCUGCAUCUGCUGUCCAGAGCCCUUGGUCACAAGGCGUGCAGCCCGGACCACAGUGAUGACAAGGGAGGCCCUUCCUAAGCCUAGAAAUGCUCUAAACCUUCAUGGAACUGCUGGUCCCAGUGCCAGCCAGAGUCCCAGGUGAGGCUGAGGUGGCUCAAGGUGGUGCACGGGAGAUGUCUGACAUCAACCCUCUCCAGCCUGGUGACUUCCCUGGCCUCCAGCCACCACCCGCCCCACAAUGUCCCCAAAGCUGAAGAUACAAGCUUGCCCUGGCCCUGGUCCUGGCACAGAAAGUGCAUGAUCUGGUCAUGUCAUGCAGCCAAGCCAGGCCACCCAGGCCCGCCCCCAGGACACGGAGUUUAAGGACCGCGUCUCCCGAGAUGCCAGAGGGACCUGCGUCCGGACUGCCCCAGUGUGACCCGCAUACCUACCGGCCCCGACCCCGAACCCCAUGGCGUCCACCCGAGCCCUGGCGCUGCUGGGUCUCCUGCUGCUGCCGCUGCUCGCAGAGCCCAAGAAACUCUGCCCGCAGCUUCUGACGGUCAUUAACCAGUUUCUGACCAAGGACAAGAACACCUACAUGGAUUCUGUCAACAGAUACCACCUCACGGAGCUGGAAAGAAACACAGCCUCCAAACUCAAGGACUGCGUGACCGACACAAUGACCCCCGAGGAGACACAGGCCGUCGUGCAGCAGGAAGAAAUCAACAACCAGUGUGCCGACACGUUAUUGAAGUAACACCAGCCACGGGCACCUUGGGUUCCUGUCCAGGCUGCCUGUCCCACCCAUGAGAAUCUGGGCCCAGGGCCCCGCCCUCCCCAGCUCCCGCCCUGCUGCUGCCUCUACUGCCUCUCCUGCUGUGCUGAUUGGGGCAAGCCUGGGAACAGCUGCCCCCCAACCCCCCCCCCACCCAGGCCUGUCCCCUGCGGGACAAUGCUGCCUAAUAAACUCACCUGCAUCCAUCCAGCUUCUGUGUGUGUUUUUCAGCCAAAGGGGAAGUGGGA
rnacentral:lncRNA from 1 species